CCUACGGGGGGCAGCAGUGAGGAAUAUUGGUCAAUGGGCGCGAGCCUGAACCAGCCAAGUAGCGUGAAGGAUGACUGCCCUACGGGUUGUAAACUUCUUUUAUAAAGGAAUAAAGUGCGGCACGUGUGCCUUUUUGUAUGUACUUUAUGAAUAAGGAUCGGCUAACUCCGUGCCAGCAGCCGCGGUAAUACGGAGGAUCCGAGCGUUAUCCGGAUUUAUUGGGUUUAAAGGGAGCGUAGACGGGUGGUUAAGUCAGUUGUGAAAGUUUGCGGCUCAACCGUAAAAUUGCAGUUGAUACUGGCAGUCUUGAGUGCAGUAGAGGUAGGCGGAAUUCGUGGUGUAGCGGUGAAAUGCUUAGAUAUCACGAAGAACUCCGAUUGCGAAGGCAGCCUACUAAACUGCAACUGACAUUGAUGCUCGAAAGUGUGGGUAUCAAACAGGAUUAGAUACCCCAGUAGUC
rnacentral:rRNA from 1 species